UAUAUAGUGCAGUGCAGUGUUGAUUUAAAGAAAAUAAUCUUGAAUUACACUUAGUGAACUUAAAAUUUUAUUGGUGAAAUGACGACAGUAACCCGGGGAGCAAACAAGCGAGCUGAAAAUAUCUUGGUGUGGCACUACCUUCCCAUCCCCCAACACACAAACAUAUGAGUAUGCAUCUGCAAAAAUCUAGCAAGACGUCAUAGAAAACAAAUUGAACUCUGGGUGAAGGUCGUGAUAAGGUAAUGUUACCCCCCCCUCUGCCCCCACCACCACCACAUACACGCAACAAUGACAACCUAGUAAGUGCUCGGGAGCAGCAGGGCCACAGCCACACUGGACAGGCUUCUAGCAUCAAUAACACACUCUGGGAUGGCUUGUGAAGGAGAGGAGAAGGUCGGGUGAGGGAGCACUGGAGUUGGGUACAAUUGGAGGAGGUGGAAGAAUUGAAAGUAAGGGAGGAUGUGAGCAGGGAGACGGAGAAGACGUAUGAAGGAUGACAGGAUAGGAAGAAGCAUGGAAGCCGGGUGUAAUUGGAGGAGGAAGAAGAGGAAAGAAGGGAGGAUGUGAGCAACAGAAGAUGGAGAAGACAUAAGGAGGAUGACAGGAUGGGAAGAACAGGAAGUGGAAAGCAGAUGGGACAGGAGUGAAAAUCAGGAAAAUAAAUAUACAACAAAAUUUAAAAGAAAAUAAAGGAGUCAGACGAAGAUGAAGCAAAGUUUGUAGACUUGCAUGUCAAGUGAGUCUAAAGGUUUAAACUAUCAACUAGGAACAGGCAGUAUCAGGUCACUGUAGGUGCUUUUGCUUUACAGUAUUUGGGUUUGUGUAUGAAUGGUGAUGAUUAUCUUGGAAAAAGGAAUCAUCUAAAAAUUAAACUUCCCAGCUUG